GCGCCUCGUGAAUUCAUCUCCGGGGGUAGAGCACUGUUUCGGCUAGGGGGCCAUCCCGGCUUACCAACCCGAUGCAAACUGCGAAUACCGGAGAAUGUUAUCACGGGAGACACACGGCGGGUGCUAACGUCCGUCGUGAAGAGGGAAACAACCCAGACCGCCAGCUAAGGUCCCAAAGUCAUGGUUAAGUGGGAAACGAUGUGGGAAGGCCCAGACAGCCAGGAUGUUGGCUUAGAAGCAGCCAUCAUUUAAAGAAAGCGUAAUAGCUCACUGGUCGAGUCGGCCUGCGCGGAAGAUGUAACGGGGCUAAACCAUG
rnacentral:rRNA from 1 species